AACGAACGCUGGCGGCGUGCCUAACACAUGCAAGUCGAACGAAACCGUCCGGUCUUUUUGCGCACGGUUGCGUAAGGCGGGGGAACCUUCCCUUGUGUUCGGAAUAACUCCCCGAAGGGUAUCCUAAUGCCAGAUAGUGUCUUCUAACCAAAGAUUUAUCGCCUUUGGAUGGGCCCUCGUUGGAUUAGCUGGUUGGUAGUGUAAUAGCCUACCACGGCGUGGAUCCAUAGCUGGUCUGAGAGGCUGCUCCGCUACACUGGGAAUGAGACACGGACCAGAAUCCUACGCGAGGGAGCAGUGGGUAAUAUAGGAAACUGGGCGAAAGCAUGAUAAAGCAAUGACGCGUGAGUGAUGAAGGCGUUAGGGUUGUAAAGCUCUUUUACCCGGGAUGAUAAUGACAGUACCGGGAGAAUAAGCUCCGGCUAACUACGUG
rnacentral:rRNA from 1 species